rnacentral:tRNA from 1 species
UUGGCACAGUGGUUAAGUGCUCAGCUGCUAACUGAAAGGUCAGUGGUUCAAAUCCACUA